CGCGCGCAACGGGGUUGUGUAGUCAUACAGGAGGCCGCGCGCAGUGGAGACAGUCUAACAAAUCUUAUUUUACGAGCAAGUAAUUUAGGCAUAAAUAAUGUUUUCAGUGCAGCUUGCAUAUUUCCUGACCUACACACAUGUCAAUAAUUCAGAAAGCCUAACUGUAUGCGCGGCUACAGCAGAGGGAAAUCUCCAGGAUUGGUGAAGGCUGCAACAGCUCGGCUACGUUUAAAGCUCAGUCGCUACGGGUGCCCGGUAGCUUCACAGCGCAGACUAGAAUGCACAGAUGAACAAAAAGAGGACAAACAAGUUGGGUCGUUGAAAGUGCUGGAAAUGACUGGACAAUGUCUGCGUGAAUCCUGUACCAUAUUGUGAACAAAUGUAACUCAUCCACCCCCAACUUCCCCCCACAUCUCCACUAGGCUCAGGCUGAGCCCCUUUAUACUGGGAUGAACGCGGGGCCACCCGCCCAGUGAGUGUGUGUGCCUGAGGAAUGUCCUCCUCCGAAGAAAUGGGAUGAGUCUUGCUUCGUAACCACGC
ensembl:lncRNA